rnacentral:rRNA from 1 species
UACAGAGGUCUCAAGCGUUGUUCGGAUUCAUUGGGCGUAAAGGGUGCGUAGGCGGCGCGGUAAGUCGGUUGUGAAAUCUCGGAGCUUAACUCCGAAACUGCAUUCGAUACUGGCGUGCUUGAGGACUGGAGAGGAGACUGGAAUUCAUGGUGUAGCAGUGAAAUGCGUAGAGAUCAUGAGGAAGACCAGUGGCGAAGGCGGGUCUCUGGACAGUUCCUGACACUGAGACACGAAGGCCAGGGGAGCAAACGGG